rnacentral:rRNA from 1 species
GACGAACGCUGGCGGCGUGCUUAACACAUGCAAGUCGAGCGGUAAGGCCUUUCGGGGUACACGAGCGGCGAACGGGUGAGUAACACGUGGGUGAUCUGCCCUGCACUUCGGGAUAAGCCUGGGAAACUGGGUCUAAUACCGGAUAUGACCUCCUAUCGCAUGGUGGGUGGUGGAAAGAUUUAUCGGUGCAGGAUGGGCCCGCGGCCUAUCAGCUUGUUGUUGGGGUAAUGGCCUACCAAGGCGACGACGGGUAGCCGACCUGAGAGGGUGACCGGCCACACUGGGACUGAGACACGGCCCAGACUCCUACGGGAGGCAGCAGUGGGGAAUAUUGCACAAUGGGCGAAAGCCUGAUGCAGCGACGCCGCGUGAGGGAUGACGGCCUUCGGGUUGUAAACCUCUUUCAGCAGGGACGAAGCGCAAGUGACGGUACCUGCAGAAGAAGCACCGGCUAACUACGUG